CUUGGGGGCGUUUUACCCCACAACCUAUGACUUUUUCAAAAAAUGUUUAAUUUUUUAAGUAUAAUUAUAUUCCUUAUAAAUAACAUAUCCUCUCAAACUACAGACUUCAUUAUUCAUCUAUCAUACAUCACUGUGAUAUCCUGCAGAACAAUAUUCUCUUAAACACUUGUUUACUAAUAUCUGAAAAUUAUAGCGCUUACCAUGUAAUCCUCUUCUCUUCAAAUACGUCGCUGGUGUCAGCUUCUCCAAGGAGAUUUGUUUAUCCCCGUUGUCAAACGUAGUGCAUAGCAACAGUGAAAAUGUAUCUUGACUAUCUCUAGUGGUUAUUUUGGGAAAAACAGGUGGGGGGCGUUUUACCCCACUCUACCCUACGUUAUAGUUGUCACCUGGAUGAACAGUUAACAGUUGUUUUCAUGACUGUCAGUCAUUCUCCUUGCAUGCUAUUGACGUUAGAGAAGUGUAUAGUAGUUUCGCAUAUAACUUUAGAGACGGUCCCUAGAUUUGCGACUAUCGAAUCAAGCCAACUUUAUGCCAGUGCGUACUCUGAGCUCAAAAUGCGUACAGGUUGGCAGGUCUCAUGCAUCAAUGCUUAACAGCUCUCUUGUUUAUCAGAUUGUAAAUAGAUUUUAGGCAAACCACUGAAAUCUCAGCACAUUUCGAAACAGUUAUGACGCAACGAAGCCUCGUUCACUGAAACCACGUGACUUCUGCGGUUUGAACACGUGCUGCGAAGAGCUAUUUUGAAACAAAUGAUUCAAAGGAUUCGAAGCCCGGAGCAGCGCGUGCACGUCAGCCGCGGACUCUUAUUCUGACACGCGUCGCCGCUGUCAGCUUCUCGAGCUCAAGACUGGAGAUUAUAUUACAGCAGAUGCAGAUCUACACUGAAGAGCACAUCAGCGGAGGAUCUUCCUCGUCCUCAGUGCUGGAUUUAUUCAUGAAGAGCUCUGCCGCUGCUGACCAGAGACUGGACACGUCCGGCUUGUUUUCUGUGAUAGAUCGUUCCCGUGACACUGGAGUGUCUGGAGCAGAAGAGACUCAUAUAUACUCCUUGUGGUCUGUAGACAGGACUCAUUCAGGACAUGAAGCUGAGGCGCACACUCACUCCUCCUCCAGUGAAGAGGUGACUCAGGAGAGAAGUCUGCACGGUCAGACAGAGCCACACAGCUCGGUCAGGGUUUGUGAGAGACAGCAGAGAUGUGGAAGUGUUAUUAUGGGUCAUGGACUCAGAUCUUAGCAGGAAGCAGCGGUCUGAAGCUUCUUCUGAACACGCCGCUGUUGGUUUCUCUGGACGAUGUUAUGGAUGGACUGCAGCGUGUGUGAAUGGUUUGUGGUUACUAUUAGGUCUUUAUUACUACAAACUCAUCCAACCUUUCCUCAGGAGUUAAUUUACCUGAUACCUUCUGCUCCUGCUCCGGUAAAACUGAAUUAUACUGUCAGAGUGUGUGUGUGUGUGUGUGUGAGAGAGAGAGAGAGAGAGAGAGUGUGUGUGUGUUUGUGAGAGAGGGAGAGAGUGUGUGUGUGUGUGAGAGAGUGUGUGUGUGUGUGUGUGUGUGUGUAAGAGAGUGUGUGUGUGUGUGUGUGUGUGAGAGAGAG
ensembl:lncRNA